rnacentral:rRNA from 1 species
GACGUAGGGUGCGAGCGUUGUCCGGAGUUAUUGGGCGUAAAGAGCGUGUAGGCGGUCUGGUAGGUCCGUUGUGAAAACUCGAGGCUCAACCUCGAGACGCCGAUGGAAACCAUCAGACUAGAGUCCGGAAGAGGAGAGUGGAAUUCCUGGUGUAGCGGUGAAAUGCGCAGAUAUCGGGAGGAACACCCGUGGCGAAGGCGGCACUCUGGGACGGUACUGACGCUGAGACGCGAAAGCGUGGGGAGCAAACAGG